rnacentral:rRNA from 1 species
AUGUCUCUGGGUGUGCUGAGCUGGAAUGUGAGGGGGUUGAAUAACCCCGCGAGGCGUUCGUCUAUUAGACUUUUUAUGCAAGCCUGUAAUGCUGCUCUUGUUUGUCUUCAAGAAUCUAAGCUUGAUAGUGUUGAUGCGUCGGUGGUUUGUAAUACUCUUGGGCCAGGGUUCGGUGGUUUUGAGGCUCUGCCGGCGGUGGGCACCCGAGGGGGCAUUUUGAUGGCCUGGAAGCCUGACGUGCUACGUGUCAUGGUUGUUCACAGAGGCAAGUUCUCGAUUACGGCCAAUGUUCUGUCUCUGGUGGAUGGCAAGGCUUGGAUGGUGUCCUCAGUGUAUGGGCCACAUGCAGUGGAUGACAAGGUGAGGUUUUUGCAGGAGAUCGAGCUCAUUGGGCAGCAGGUGCAACUCCCUUGGAUCAUCAACGGGGAUUUCAACCACUAG